AUUGAACGCUGGCGGCAUGCCUAACACAUGCAAGUCGAACGGCAGCACGGUCCAGUUUACUGGAUGGGUGGCGAGUGGCGGACGGGUGAGUAACGCGUAGGAAUAUGCCUUGAAGAGGGGGAUAACUUGGGGAAACUCAAGCUAAUACCGCAUAAUCUCUUAGGAGGAAAGCUGGGGACCUUCGGGCCUGGCGCUUUAAGAUUAGCCUGCGUAGGAUUAGCUAGUUGGUGGGGUAAGGGCCUACCAAGGCGAAGACCGUUAGCUGGUCUGAGAGGAUGGCGAGACAGACUGGAACUGAGACACGGUCCAGACUCCUACGGGAGGCAGCAGUGGGGAAUAUUGGACAAUGGGGGGAACCCUGAUCCAGCAAUGCCGCGUGUGUGAAGAAGGCCUGAGGGUUGUAAAGCACUUUCAGUGGGGAGGAGGGUUGACAGGUUAAGAGCUAGUUAAUUGGACGUUACCCACAGAAGAAGCACCGGCUAACUCCGUGCCAGCAGCCGCAGUAA
rnacentral:rRNA from 1 species